GCUGGGCGUGGCUGUGCGUGCCUGUAAUCCCAGCUACCCGGGAGGCUGAGGCAAGAGAAUUGCUUGGACCCGGGAGGCUGAGGCUGCAGGGAGCUGAGUUGGCACCACUGCACUCCAGCCUGGGUGACAGAGCAAGACCCUGUCUCAA
ensembl:misc_RNA Metazoa_SRP Metazoan signal recognition particle RNA